AGAGUUUGAUCCUGGCUCAGGACGAACGCUGGCGGCGUGCCUAAUGCAUGCAAGUCGUACGCAGCACCUUCGGGUGCUGAGUGGCGCACGGCUGAGGAACACGUGGGAAUCUGCCCGUCCGUGGGGGAUAACUCGCCGAAAGGCGUGCUAAUCCCGCAUACGCCUCCGCAAGGAGGGAAAGCCGCAAUGCGCGGACGGAGGAGCCCGCGGCCCAUCAGGUAGUUGGCGGGGUAACGGCCCACCAAGCCGAUGACGGGUAGCUGGUCUGUGAGGAUGACCAGCCAGACUGGGACUGAGACACGGCCCAGACUCCUACGGGAGGCAGCAGCAAGGAAUUUUCGUCAAUGGGGGCAACCCUGAACGAGCAACGCCGCGUGGAGGAAGACGGCCUUCGGGUUGUAAACUCCUUUUGCGGGGGAUGACAUCGACCGUACCCCGCGAAUCAGGCUCGGCUAACUCUGUGCCAGCCGCCGCGGUAAUAC
rnacentral:rRNA from 1 species